AUCCAGGGUUGUCUCCCUUUGUGCUUUCUUUACUGUUUCUAUUUCCAUUUUCAAUUCCUUCAACUGUUUGAUUGUGUUUUCCUGGAAUUCUUUCAGGGGUUCUUGUUUUUCCUCUCUAUGGGCUUCUACUUGUUUACUUGUGUUUUCCUGCAUUUCCCUAAAGGAAUCCUUUAUGUCUUUCUUAAAGUCCUCCAUCAUCAUGAUCAAAUGUGAUUUUAAAUCUAGGUCUUGCUUUUCUGGUUUGGAACUGGUGACCACAAUUUCCUAUUAAUUACUACUUUACAGUUUAUUAUUCCUAGCUAGUGUUUCAUCCACAUCUGAAUCUCAUGCCUACACAUAGAUAUUUUUAGUAAAGUUAAGUGUAGUGCAAAAAGUAUAAUUUCAAUUUACCGUAAACUGCUUUCUGCAUGGCCCAAGUAACCUAACAGCAUCCAGUGGUUGUGUUCAACAUGAGACCAACUUAAGAAGGUGUUUUUAAACACUGCUGAAUGAAACACUAGCGAUUCUCUGAGGCAGAUGCACAAGCUGGGUUGAUGGAUCCGUGUCUGUAUGGACUUGAGGGUGAAGAGGAGGACACAACUGACAGCAUGCAGUCGGUGAAGGAAGGAGCAGUUAUGUGUACACAGGUUAGUGUUCCAAAAAUGAAACAUAAACCAACAAGGCAACAAAAGAAAGUGGCAAAAGGCUAUUCUUCCCCAGAGCCUGACGUCCAGGAUUCUUCUGGAAGUGAAGCUCAAUCUGUAAAACCAAGUACACGAAGAAAGAAGGGGAUAGACCUGGGAGACAUUCAAAGUUCCAUUGAGUCUAUAAAACAAACACAGGAAGAGAUUAAAAGAAAUAUUAUGGCCCUUCGAAAUCAUUUACUUUCAAGUACGCCUGCUACGGAUUAUUUUCUGCAACAGAAAGAUUACUUCGUCAUUUUCCUGCUGAUUUUGCUUCAAGUCAUAAUAAACUUUAUAUUUAAGUAGAAGUUCUCAACAGUUGAAUCAAUGAACUAGAACGAUUAGAAUGUGACCUGGGACCAAUGUUCAAAUUGGUUUGCUCUUUAUUAAAGCAUCACAAUAUUUCUGAAUCAAGCAAACAAACUAGGAGAUAAAUGUAGAAAUGUCUGCCUACUUUUCACAUCUUUUAUCCUUACCCCGAAACAAGAGCUACUGUGUUUGUUAGUACAAUCGGCUGUGUGUUCAGUGCCAGAACACUUUUAUGAGACUGUGCCUACAUGCGAGUAAGCCCACACGUGUGCCAGAGCUCUUCCCUGACAGCAGUUCCUAUGCUCUGCAGUGUGCUGUGAAGUAUUCUGAUGCCAGUGUUUAUAACAGAGAUGCCGCCACUCCUAUAAAUACAUCUGUGGUCAACUACUGUCUUCAGAAGACCGGCAUUGACUUUCAUUAGGGAAUUACAGUGGGGAAAUGAUAGAUAAUAGAUGUUAUGAGUAAUUCAAUACAUUAUGCUGUAAAACCACCUCCAAAUUAUCUAGCUCAGUUUGUCUUCUUAGGUAGACC
rnacentral:lncRNA from 1 species